AACGAACGCUGGCGGCAGGCCUAACACAUGCAAGUCGAGCGCGCCCUUCGGGGUGAGCGGCGGACGGGUGAGUAACGCGUGGGAACGUGCCCUUUUCUACGGAAUAGCCCCGGUAAACGGAGAGUAAUACCGUAUACGCUCCUUUGGGGACAGGUUUAACGUAAAAGGAUCGGCCCGGGUUGGAUUAGCUGGUUGGUGGGGUAAUGGCCUACCAAGCCGACGAUCCAUAGCUGGUUUGAGAGGAUGAUCAGCCACACUGGGACUGGGACCCGGCCCAGACUACUACGGGAGGUAGGAGAGGGGAAUCUUGGACAAUGGGGGCAACCAUGAUCUAGCCAUGCCGCGUGAGUGAUGAAGGCGUUAGAGUUGUAAAGCUCUUUCAGCUGGGAAGAUAAUGACGGUACCAGCAGAAGAAGCCCCGGCUAACUCCGUG
rnacentral:rRNA from 1 species